rnacentral:lncRNA from 1 species
UUAGUGUAGUGGUGUGUACAUUUUAUGUAGUGGAUAAAAUGACCGGUCGAAAUUUGCGGUUUGUUUGAAUCAAGUUUUAAAAAACUAAACCGUUUGUUGUUACAUUUGAUUGAAAAUUAUCUUGUUACCCAUUUAAGGAACUUUAUAGUUAAUAAGAGCUGUUCAAUGGAUUUUUGCGUUCUAUAUUGACCAAUUCUACUGAGAAAAUUAACGGCUGGUUUGGCGUAAUUUUUGGAGGAGCCCCCCUGGUUCCAUAUCCCAAAUGUGGAGGAAUCAGCAAUUUUCGCUGUUCACCAAUACACAUUCUACAAGUACCUCUUAUGACACUGAUUGAUUACGAAAUGGAUUGUUAUUCAACAAAAAUUAGAAAGUGUAAAAUUAACAAGACUUUUAAUCGUACUUUGAUAACGUAUAUAACACCAGCCAAAAUCGAAGGCCACGUAUAACUCACCUGAAAAAACACCUAAUACAAGUAGCAUUAUAUUUGCAAGUAUAUUUGACCUUUUGACCGUCUGCAAGUUGUACUUGCAAGUCAUAGUGAGCAUUACAUUUCAAAACAUAUAAGAGGCCAAGGCUGUUGAGGAAAUAUUGUAGUUUGCAGUAGACUCAUAAGAAGACAAAUUCAGUCUGUACUCCAGUUGCUUUAUAUUACAUUUAAAAUGCCUUGUCCCUUUUUAAAUAAGUUGAGUGCUAAUUAUGUUCGAACCUAUGCUUUAAAUUUGUUAAAAACAUAUGGAAAUCAAUGUCCAGUUAUGUCUAGAACUUUCACUUCUCUUGAGGAUGUGCAAGUAAAAGAAAAUAGAAAAGAAAGUGAAGUCAAAAAAAAUUCCAAAUGCCCAUUUUUAUCAGAACUUGACAAGUUAAUGAUUAAAGAAGUAACUGAAGAUGAUACAAUUGAUAUUGGUGAUCAAAAGAAGUAUAUAUUUCCAUAUGAAAACUUUUUCCAUGACCAAAUAAU